GCAGCGGCGGUUCAGUGGUAGAACCCUAGCCCUCCAUGCCGGAGACCCAGGCACAAUUCCUGACCAUUGCA
rnacentral:tRNA from 1 species